CUGAGUGUUUUUUCUUGAUGAUUUCUUGCCUCUCUUCCUGCUGUUAUUAAAUUCCUGUAUUCCAUUUUGGUUGUCUUGUAUAAUUGUUCCCUUCUCAGUUUCAAUUAGAAAUCGAGGAACUUUUGUUAAUAGGCAUGCCAUGUGGAACCAUGAAUUAGCAUUUGAACUGGAGGAUUUAUUUAAUUUUCUAAGGUCAACAAGGAGUACAUGCUUCAGUAUAGCUUACUAAUAUGGAAUCUCAAUCUUCUUGUACUUUACUUUUUUUGGUUGCUUCUCCUGCUUCUAAAUAACUUCAUUUACAUUGUCUGCGUUAUUAUUAGCUGGAUUGUGCAUAUGCUCCAGUUCUAAAACCAACAACAACAAAAAUCCAGUUUGAUCCCAUAAAUGGGGUAUGGGGAGGUUAGUGUGUAUGUAGACCUUAGCCCUACCUCGUAGAGGAUGUUUCCGAAAGACCCUCGGCUUCUAAAUCCAAUAUGCAAAAAAAAUAAAAUAGGGAUUUUGAAUUUUCUUUUUUCUUCCUCUUAAUUUCUUCAGUAAUCUCAUUUGUCCAUAAAUGAAAGAAGUUGAAGAAGUUGCUUCCUUCGUAGAAAUAAAAUAAGAUCGGAAGUAGUGGUUCUCAAGUUCUAUAAGAUGUUGCUUUGGAUUGAUACAUCUGCUCGUGUUUAAAUACAAAAUAUCUUAUAUUUUAAAAGUGAUGAGAAGAACGUUUCUGGUUAGAUAAGCACCGCUGUGUUUCUUAUGUGCUAUUAUACUAAGAAAGCUUGUCCAAUUAAGUUUAGGCUUAGAUAUGGCUAUGCUGUAUGAGAUGGCAUUCUAUAGGUUCCCUAUGGAAGGUAAGAUUUGUCCUUGGCGUUGUGACAUUGAGUGUUGACUUGUCCAUAAUCUUUGUGCUUUAGUAGAUUCCUGAUUAGAUAGAGCAUAGAUGAGUUUCAGAAUGCGAAAUUUGACUGGUUAAAUUAGCUAUCCUUGUUGUAAUCACAGUGUUUUAGUUCUCAUGGUUCUCUCAUCUUGGCACUUUUUUACCUUAUUCCUUCGUUGUAGC
rnacentral:lncRNA from 1 species